AGAAACUUAAGUUAUAUUAAACUAGGAACGCCUUCAAAGCUCCAAAUAAAGCACUACUUUAGUUUCUGC